rnacentral:rRNA from 1 species
AGAGUUUGAUCAUGGCUCAGAUUGAACGCUGGCGGCAGGCUUAACACAUGCAAGUCGAGCGGGGGAAAGUAGCUUGCUACUGGACCUAGCGGCGGACGGGUGAGUAAUGCUUAGGAAUCUGCCUAUUAGUGGGGGACAACAUUCCGAAAGGAAUGCUAAUACCGCAUACGUCCUACGGGAGAAAGCAGGGGACCUUCGGGCCUUGCGCUAAUAGAUGAGCCUAAGUCGGAUUAGCUAGUUGGUGGGGUAAAGGCCUACCAAGGCGACGAUCUGUAGCGGGUCUGAGAGGAUGAUCCGCCACACUGGGACUGAGACACGGCCCAGACUCCUACGGGAGGCAGCAGUGGGGAAUAUUGGACAAUGGGGGGAACCCUGAUCCAGCCAUGGCCGCGUGUGUGAAGAAGGCCUUAUGGUUGUAAAGCACUUUAAGCGAGGAGGAGGCUACUAGUAUUAAUACUACUGGAUAGUGGACGUUACUCGCAGAAUAAGCACCGGCUAACUCUGUGCCAGCAGCCGCGGUAAUACAGAGGGUGCGAGCGUUAAUCGGAUUUACUGGGCGUAAAGCGUGCGUAGGCGGCCAUUUAAGUCAAAUGUGAAAUCCCCGAGCUUAACUUGGGAAUUGCAUUCGAUACUGGAUGGCUAGAGUAUGGGAGAGGAUGGUAGAAUUCCAGGUGUAGCGGUGAAAUGCGUAGAGAUCUGGAGGAAUACCGAUGGCGAAGGCAGCCAUCUGGCCUAAUACUGACGCU